GUCUCAACGAGAGACUCGGUGAAAUUAUAGUACCUGUGAAGAUGCAGGUUACCCGCGACAGGACGGAAAGACCCCGUGGAGCUUUACUGCAGCCUGAUAUUGAAUUUUGGUACAGCUUGUACAGGAUAGGUAGGAGCCUUGGAAGCCGGAGCGCUAGCUUCGGUGGAGGCAUUGGUGGGAUACUACCCUGGCUGUAUUGACAUUCUAACCCGCACCCCUGAUCGGGGUGGGAGACAGUGUCAGGUGGGCAGUUUGACUGGGGCGGU
rnacentral:rRNA from 1 species